CACCAUUUUAAAUGGCUGGAUAAUAAUCUCCAUUGUGGACAUCUAAGCACGUGUUGACUGUUCCUGUGGUUUUGGACACUGAAGGAUUCCACAGGAUGCGAUUCUGCAUUUAACCGGCCACGACGGGGCCAGGCUCUGCUCUGUUGUGUGGCUUCGUGGCUCCUUCUUCCCGGCUGGAUGCACAGAGGGGAAUGUCUAGGGGCCCAUGGAGGGUUCCUGUCACUGCCCUCUCAGCCUGGGCAGAGCACUGUGGCACCUCUUGUCACAUUUCUGGGUGAGCAGCUGGUCUGGGCUCUGUGUCCCAAGGAGAAGGUACCCCAGGGUAAGCAGAAUGGAGACUGGCCUCUGUUCUCAUGGUGUCCACCUGUGUGGCCUUCGGCAGGGGAUCUUCCCUUUGUCCAUGUCCUCCUCUGUGAGAUGCUGGGUAGGUUUCUCUUGUCCACCUCCCAAGGCUUUCCUGGGAGCAAAUGAGAAAGCUGUAUGUGAAAACGCUUUAAAAAGUGCUCGGAAAUCUGUCACCCCAUCCUCUUUCACCUCCAGUUCCUAUUCCAGAACAGUCCUUUACAACACAGAGAAUUAAGUGCUGAAGUCGGAAACAUUUUAGAUCAGCCUCAAAGGAUGCAGGAACUGUGGGGCCAGCUUCUAUGUAAAAGGCAUUUUUGAGUUUGUUUGGUGAGGUAUGACCCAAAAAGAGCACGGGGACCGACCCCCAGCAGGGACUCCUGCCCGUGGAUCUCUGCUCAAGCUGUUCCCUCAGUCUGGAGGGCCCUUCCCUCCAUAUCUGCCUGUGGAAGACUAGCUGCCUUCAGGACCCACCUUCCAAGAAGCUUUUCUGGGACCCUCCUCCAGUGGGAAUUAACCUUGUUCUCCGGCGCUGCACAUGGCUUGUGCCAUUCACCACUGACAGCUUUGCUUUGGGGCUCUUGUCGUCUUAGAGCCGUGCAGCUGCUUUCUUCAAUAUUUGGAUUGCCUAGACAGUGGUUGUCAGCCCUGACUGCACAUGAGACUCACGUGGGGAGCUCUAGACUCAUCUGGCCCCGUGGAAACCAGCAUCAGUGUUGUUUACAAGCUCCCCAGGUGAUGCUAAUGUGCAGCCUGGAGUGAGAGCCAUGGACCGAGACCUCUUCCCACUUCCUCCAUGGAAUUUUUCUUGCAGUCUGUUCUUGCAACCCACAGGCCCCCUUCCCUCACAACCCCAAAGGAAAGAUGAGUUUCCAUUAAGACAAGACCUUAGCUUUAACUUGAUGUCUUAAGCAGAUGGUGGCAGACCUAAUUCACAGUGUCAGCGGGGUCCUGAAUUUCUAUUCCAGCCCUUACGGCCAACUGGCAGCCUGGACCUGAGUGAGUGACAGAUGUCUCCUGAGCAGGACAGACAGACUUCGCAGAUUCCUUGAGGAUAGGAAUUAUGUCUUGUACUCAUUGCCCAACUGCAAGCCACCCACUCCUGGCAUUUUGGAACCGAUCCGUAAAUCACUG
rnacentral:lncRNA from 1 species